GCAGCAGGUCUACAAGCAAGGUAAGUAGGUCCAUUACCAGCCGGCUCCGGACCGAAAAGACCUAACGGACUAAUCCCUUAUCUAGGAUCGUAGAUGCUAACGGGGCGGGAAUCGAAGUGGGGGACCCCUCUACCGCCUGUGUCUAUCUCCUGUCAAGUAUGCUCCCCAGACAUAGACUACGUACAGGGUAGUACUCUUGGAAAGAUAGAAUAUCACCGCGUGAACAUAACAUUACAUUAAGUUACGAAUGUAACUCCCGAAGGAUCGACCACUAUUCUAAAUAUAGUAAGGCGGAGAACUGUUGUUCAGUGGAGCGCCGGAGUGCGGAGGUUGUUCCCAUCAUUGAAGUCAGGGUGUGGGACUGAGCCUUCCGAAUGAGAAAGAAGAAAAGUGCUUAGUUUCGUUGGAAAAACCAACGCAAAUAUCAUAUUGACUUUCUCUCGCCCUACUUCUAAAGAUAGAUAGAAAAGGUUGGAGAGAAUGACUUUCUGAAAUUCUCUCCUUUCUAAAGCUGCGCAAGGCGGCCCCCCCAGAACAAAGCCCCACCCCUCUUUUCCCCCCUUUAAUGAAGGACCCUCGCCUCGCUUCCUAUUCAUUUGUGGGUCUGGACCCGAGGGCCUUUUUUUUUCAAGAGGUGAUUUCGAGAAUCAACCAACGGAAAAAUCCGUAGCCCAGGUGACUCACAGCCUCCCUCUCGCCCAAAUAAAUGAAAUGGGAUGAAUCAAAUCAAUAAGCUUUUUGAUUGAUUCAGGGCGCAGCGAAGCCAAAUUAAAUCAAGGCAAGGGGGCUUACUUUUCCUGAGGCUGAUUCAUCCUAUUCAAAUUUAGCUAUGCUAAUGGAAGAGGAAAAGUUUUCAGAUGAGAUGGACCCCCAAGAGAUGAGCGAGAACCCCCAAUUGCUUAGGGGUCGCACUCUGUCCCGCUUGGUGGACGAAAUCUUCUCUCCUUUUAGAAUUAUUUCUCCCACACACCUUUUUUGCCCUCUUUCACCGAGGAGGAAAGAAUAAUCUUCCAAGCGGACAGAGACAAAAAUUUCCAUUAGAUUCAUUCCUAAGCUUGCUUUGUUGCAGCAAGAUGAUCAGUCCGAGAGUGCUGGAGAGAAGAGAAAGCNNNAUAGUGGGGAAUUUUCCGCAAUGGGCGAAAGCCUGACGGAGCAAUGCCGCGUGGAGGUAGAAGGCA
rnacentral:lncRNA from 1 species